rnacentral:rRNA from 1 species
UAAUACGAAGGGGGCUAGCGUUGUUCGGAAUUACUGGGCGUAAAGCGCGCGCAGGCGGCCUUUCAAGUCAGGGGUGAAAUCCCAGAGCUCAACUCUGGAAUUGCCUCUGAGACUGUGAGGCUUCGAGUACGGGAGAGGUGAGUGGAAUUCCCAGUGUAGAGGUGAAAUUCGUAGAUAUUGGGAAGAACACCGGUGGCGAAGGCGGCUCACUGGCCCGUUACUGACGCUCAGGCGCGACAGCGUGGGGAUCAAACAGGAUUAGAUACCCUGGUAGUCCACGCCGUAAACGAUGGAUGCUAGCCGUUGGCAAGCUUGCUUGUCAGUGGCGCAGCUAACGCAUUAAGCAUCCCGCCUGGGGAGUACGGCCGCAAGGUUG